CAAGUUUUUAUUAUAUAAAAACUUUGCCCAACGGUUAAAAAGCUAGAAGACGCUCUCCGAAUUUCCUCUCAGAUUGAGUCCCUAAAUGUGUUCGUUGGACGCGUUAACGACUGGAAAUCUAUUUGCGAGUGGAAUCCUUCUAAUGGCGGCCUUGAUAUGUGGAGUGAGUUUGAAAUCCAAAAAAUUCUCUGGAUUUUUAUUCUGGGCAUCUUUCAGAACAUGUUUCUUGCAAUGGCGGCUAGUUUGCAAUCUCCUACAAAUAUUAUUACACUUUCAGUAUAUUACUCUUUUAGUAUGCGCCUGGAAUUUUCAUCAAUGCUAUUUUGAAUUUUUUGAAAUUGGAAACUAUUUUCCUGAACGAUUCUUCCUAUAUUAUUAUUCGUAUUUAAAAUUGAUAAAAUUAUGUUAAAUCUUAAUGGCACCCACUGGAUGGAACCCUUCUGCAAGUCCCAGUUAUGUCCCAUGCCUAUAUAUGGGGAGGCCUCAAACAAUAGUAUCGUUGCUCCGAGCAAAACGCAAAACUCUCUUGGCAGUUCUGUGUCUUUGGAAAACCCUGAGUUUUCAAUUCAUCCAAGAGCAAAAUAUUCCAUGGAAUACUCUCAGAAGGUUAUUCUUCAUGCAGGUGAUGCACUUUUUUUCAUGUAGGCUGGUAAGGUUAAGCUCUUACUUUCUAUGAGAGUAUUGCUAGCAUUGUUAGCAUGCUUCCCUUAACUUUCUUUUUUUUAUCUUAAUUGGCCCUUAAGUUUCAGAAUAACACUGGUCUUUCUUUCUCCAAUAUCAAUUCUAUCUCUCUUCAAGUUUAGUACAUCUUAUUCAUAAGUGACAGAGAGCAUCUGCCCUCUUCUAUAAAGUUCUUUUAUUUUAGAUUUGAUUAUGAGUGUAGCCAAUGUAGUGCUGUCAGUCUGGCAAUUAUACUUUGAAUUUGGAGAUAAGAAGUUAGAAAUUUCCAACAGUGAUUUUGAUGUGGAAUUUACGCAUUUUUAUGAAAAUGGAAGGCAAGAGUGAUACUGACUAGGAUGUGAGUGAGUGUACAUUCAAUAAUACUUCCUAGCUAAAUGCGAUAUGUGCUUUUUCCCUUUUACUCGGGUUGGUGGGUCACUUGAUCAUCUCCUAUUUUAUAAGAUUGAGUACUUCAUUUUAUAAUAUUUGCUUUUUUUCAGUUUAUUUGCCCAUUUGAAAUUAUUUCUCCUUUUGACCAGAAGUUCAAAGCUAUUUAAUCCUAUUGAAUGUGUUGUCCUUGAAGGAAAAAAAAAAAACAUUGAAUCUUUUUUGAUACAACAAAUACUUCUAAUCUAUUCUCUUUUCUCUACAACCAGUUUUGGAAACUCUCCUUACCCUAAGGGAAUUGUUGAAAUUUGGAACCAACCAAAUACUUGGAUGCCUUAGCACUUUGAUUUUGUACUAUAGCCACUGUUUUAAACAGGAAAACCGAACCUUAAAGUAAAGUUGCUUGGUGCUUUGUGAGUUGACUUUUCUGUUGACAGCUGUUCUAGAGAAUCAUAAAAGACAUAGUGAGCUAGUGAAGCAUAUACUGUGAGGGCAUCUGUUCAUAAGACAAAGUUAUAAAGUAAAUAUUGUGAAGGAGAAUUUUAGCCUUUACAAAAGAUUUAGGAACUUUAUUGUCUUUUCUUGAUGUCAUUGAGUAAAGGCCUACCUUUAACUUCAUUUUUAAAACUUAAAUGUUGCUUGCUUUUUUCAUCACUGCCUGUUUGGUUUAUAAUACAAACUCACUAACCAUUAGAAGUUUUAUUUUUCUUUUUCCUCUUGACAAUAUAUUCUUGUUGGAGCUACAGUGUUUCUUAUAGACCAUUCGGUUAGGUGAUUUUCAUUUCCUAUUGAUACAGGUUCCACCAAGUAGAUGGCGAUGAUUUGACAAUUGUUGUUAAUUAUUGGUGGUGCUCCAGCACAAUGUCUAGCUUUGCAGACCAUAUGAAGGCAUAUUAUUUGCACAAAAUGUUUUUAAUAUUUUUGCUUUUUAAAAUAUUUUUUAUCCUUACCAUAUUUGCCUAUGAAAAUGAUUCUAUUAAUCACUAUUAAUAUUGUAAGCUAACUUGAGUUUCUGUUUCUCAUGGAAUGAACUUGUUAUGUGAAGGUUGACAGACAGAGAAAAGGUAUGCAUGCUGCUAUGCUUUUUGCUGCAGUUAUGUUUUUGAUUCUUGGUUGGGCCAACACUCCUCUUGUCUGGUCAUUUCAACAUUCUAUGAUACACUGUAUGCUUAUUGGUGAAUCUUUAUUCUUGAUUGUGACUUCUAUCCGAAUUGUAGUCUUUGAGUUUGCAGAACUUUUACCCAUCUCCAGAAUUGUAAUUUUAGAUAUUUUUCUUUGCAUUAAUAGCUCAUUUAAAGAACGGAAACUGUUUUCUUAGAAAUUUGGGUUUAAAUCAUGUAUUGGUCCAGGCAAAUCCAUUAUAUGUAAAAUAAGAGAUAAAUAAAUCGAAAUGCUUUUAAUGAUCUUAUUGACCCGACCAGGAAUUUUUAUCUUGUAGCUGUAUCUUGUACGGAAGCUUGAACUUUUUGGUGGAAGAUAUAAUUCUUCAUCUGCUUUCUGAACUGUUUUUUAAUCUCAUCAAUUCUUAGGGAGAUAAGCAGCACUGUUCUUAUGUUUUACCACUUUUUCUUUAUUUCUGUGGAUUGAAAUGUACUACAUUAUUUGCUUGUUCAGUUGUCCCAGGUCCAUCAGCAACUGAGUUGUGCGUUCUAUCAGGAAAGGACCAAGUACUUCUCUAGGGUUCUUCUGCUAUGUGGAGACAGGAGAGAAAUAUACCAGAGAAGCCAUGUAACAAAGUUCAGUAUCUAAUAAGCAUGCUGACUUUCUUAAAAAACAAGAAAAGAUAAACAUUCUGAGAAACCUAUGUUAUGUUUUUAUUUGGUCAUGUUAUUCUUUUAAUUGAUAAGGAAAUGAAAGCCACUGAUAUAUCAAAUUAUCUCAUCAGAGUUUUAUAAACUAAAUCUUCAGUGAACUUUUGAUAUCUUGUUGCUUAUCUCUAACCAGUGUGGACUAGAAACAUGAUAGAUGAUGAAUUAGGCAGCAUUGGUUAAUGUGAUAAACAGCGUUGUUCUUAUGUUUCGCCACUUAUUCUGAAAUUUUGUGGAUUGAAAUGUACUAGUCUCUGCUUGUUCAGUUGUUACUUUCCUUUUCAUUUUCCUGGGUCCAUCAACCACUGAGUUAGGUAUUCUAUUAGGACAGGACCAAGUACUUCUCAAGGGUUCUACUGUUAUGUAGAGACAGCAGAGAAAUAUACCUGAGCAGCCAUGUAACAAAGGUCAGUUUCUGACAAAGCAUGCUUGACUUUCACCAAAAACAAGAAAAGAUAAACAUUCCGAGAAAUCUACUGUUUUGCUUCGUCAUGUUGUCCUUUAGAUUUUUCUUUUAAUUGAUAAUGAAAUGAAAGCCGCUAAUAUUGUUUUGCUUGCAUUCUGUGUGAAUUAAACUUGAUAAUUUUUUCAGUAGAUCAUUUUGAUUAUAGCUUGGAUUAGGCUAGCCAGAGAAGGGAUUUGAAAGGGAAGGAACAACAACAUAGCCUUCUUUUGCAUGAAUUGGAACCCUAUGCUGUCCAGGCUUUUCAUCAACUAGUUGCUCUAGCUCAUGACCAGGUUAAUACUUCUGAUUAAAGCCUACCUGCAUUGUCUACUUCAACAAAUGGUUUGAUGUGUUAUGCAACAGAUGAGCAAAAUAAAACUUUAAUUACUGAAACAUUUCAUUUAGAAGAUGAUCCAGUAGCUAAAAUUUUCUGGAUCCUUGAACUGGGCAUCUUUCAGGAUUUGUUUCUUGCAAUGGUGGUGAGCUUGCAUUCUCCUACAAACGUUGUUACACUUUCAGUAUGCGCCUGGAAUUUGCACUAAUGCUGUUUUAAAUUUUUUUGAAUUUGGAAACUAUUUUUCUGAGCUAUUCUUCCUAUAUUUUAUUUUUAUUUUAAAAUUGAAGAAGUUAUGUCUAAUCUUAAUGGUUGGUGGCAUUGGUGCUUGUCCAAGCAAGGAUUCUGUCCUGUUCUAACACUUGUUGUGGAAAACAAAAUAUGAAAAAAUUGGAUUCUGCAUGAAAGAACUUGAAACAAUAGCUUGAUGAAUGGUUACCUAUCAAAUUUCAUUGCAAAUCGCACUCUAUUAUUCUUUUUACUAUAAUAAAUUGACUUGAUUUCUUUCAUUCUACCUUGCUGGAUUUCUUUGUUCUCUUACUUUUUUAUUAAGAAAUAGUUAGUUAACCAUUUGUGCUGUAUCACUUUCCAGCACAACUUCCCCCGAACUUUGGAAGCUCUAAUGCUUCUGAUCAAAAUCAACCAGUGUUGUUUAAUUCAACAAAUGGUUUGAUGUGUUAUGCAAGAGAUAAGCAAAAUAAACUUUAAUGACUAAAGUAUAUCAUUUAGAAGAUGAUCCGGUACCUAAAAUGCUCUGGAUCCUUGAACCUGGCAUCUUUCAGGAUUUAUUUCCCACAAUGUUGGUGGGUUUGCAAUCUCAUAGAAACAUUGUUACACUUUCAUUAUGUGCCUUGAAUUUUCAUAAUGCUAUUUUGAAUUAUGUUGAAUUUGGGAACUAUUUUCUUGAGCUAUUCUUCCUAUAUUAUUAUUUUUGUUUUAAAAUUGAAGAAGUUAUGUUGCAUCUACUCCUGAAUUGGUGCUUGUCCAAGUAAGGCUUCUGUCCUGUUCUAAUGCUUGUUGUGGAAAACAAAAUAUGAGAAAAUUGGAUUCUGGAUGAAGGAAUUUAAACAAUAGUAUGAUGAAUGGGUUACCUGUCAAAUUUUAUUGUAACUCACCUUCUAUUGUUCUUUUUACUAUUCUAAAUUGACUUGCUUUCUUUCAUUCUACCUUGCUGGUUUUCUUUGUUCUCUCUUCUAUUAAGGAAUAGUUAUCCAUUCUUGUUCUAUCACUUUCCAACACAACUUCCCCUGUACUUUAGAAGCUCUUAUACUGCACUUCCUUUCACCUGUGGGGCAGAAGUCCUUACACAAAAAUUUGAUGAGAUAGAUAAGCAGAACUCUUAAGAAGAUCAAUCUGUACAUGUUAAUUUUUGCAGGGUGAUCUCGAGAUAGUAAAUUGAUGAUUUGAUUCCGCAUGAAGGAACUUAAAACAAUAGCUUGAUGAAUGGCUUACCUAUCAAAUUUUACUCUAACUCCUCUAUUGUUCUUUUUACUAUUCUAAAUUGACUUGCUUUCUUUCAUUCUACCUUGCUAGUUUUCUUUUUUCUCUUUUUUAUUGAUGGAAUAGCUGCCCAUUUGUGUUCUAUCACUUUCCAGCACAACUUCCCCUGAACUUUUGAAGCUCUAAUACUGCACUUGCUUUUACUGGUGGGGGCAGAAUCCUCACUCAAAAAUUUGAUGAGAUAGAUAAGCAGAACACUAAAGAUCAGUACAUGUUAUUAUUAUUAUUUUCUGAACAAAUACAUGUUAAUUUUUCUUGGGUUCUGAUUUAGUUUUUCAUUUCUAAUUAAUGUAGUGGUUUUUGGCAUCACUAUGUUAUUCAUAUUCAUGAUUUCAGGAACAAAUUCUACCAGGUCUUCUAUGGUGUAUUUGAUAACCAAUUUGCAGCUAUGGAUGCCAUUCUAAACAGGAAAGAAACAUUUGCACAUCAGGUGAUGCUUUGACCUUGUAUAACUUUUUCUUUCAGAACAGAAUAUAAGUAGUUAUCAUUUUAUGGUUUCUGAGAUUUGAGAUAUAAGGAAAAAUUUUCUGCUCAAAUACAAGUCCAAGAAAUGUUUUAUUUAAGUUUAAUUUUCUUAUGUGGAUGGGGAGAGGGAGAGGUGGAUGGGUAGUUUGAGCUGAUUGGAGGAAUAAAUACAAUCCUCAUCCAGAACUACGUGUUGGUUAAUGUAAAUGGUUUUUCAUAUCAGUCCAUCAUUGUGGUUUACUAUGACAGGCCUAAUUGGAAUUGCACAAAGGAUAAAAAUUUUGUUGUUCAAGGUUGGUUUUAAUUCUUUGGUUUUCACAUUUUUUUCAUCAGCAAGAGAUUCAAAUUUGUUAGUAGAUGGGUGAGACAAUGCAAACAACAUGGAAGCUUGCUAGGUUUAUUCUCGCCAUCCUUCUGCAAUUAUUAUCUCUUUUGCUGAGUUUUUCAGUUAUGAGUCAAGUGUUGAAAACCCUGUCCCCUCGUGGCUUUGAUAGAUGAAAAAGAGGUCAUCAUCUGAUUCUACUCAUACUGCUCUGGAUUAUUUCAAAUAAAGUUGCUCUUUGGACCUUUGUGCCCAAUCAUGUUAAUUUUUAUUUUUGUGCAUCGUCAUCAAAAUUGCGAUUCUAUUAGGUAUUGUUUAGGCUUUGUCUUUCCCUUCUUACAGCUGUGCAGAAUAAAUCUGAUUUAAAACUUUGAAUUACUUAAUUAUGGUUUUCUGAUCCAUCACCUUUCACCACCCCCCCCCCCCAAACAAAAAAGCUGGAGUCUUUAACUUUCCUUAUAGCUGCACUUAUUUUCAUUGUCCUUUUUGUUCUUUCCCAUCAUUAUUACAUCAGCGUUUAUGCAUGUUUAUUGCUUUAGCAUGUUUUACAAUGGCCAUGUUUGCACAAGGGCACACAUCAACAUCAUGCAGGUUGACUGUAAAUUCUUCCAAGCUUACCAAAUAAUAUUUUGGUGCAUAUGUUUUGAAGGUUUUGGAAUCUUUUCUGUGAGAAAAUUGACAAUCCAAAGUAUAGUAAAUUUUAUUGAAUUAUGAUGCAUCAUACUCCCAACAGAGAUUAAAUUCUGAACUUUUGCAUUCUUAGUCUUAUACUUUUGUGUUGAAGGCAUUCAAAAAUUUAUUGGAUAAAUACUUGGGAGGGAAUUUUGAUGUACCAAACCUGUGUGUUGGGCGAGACAUCUCGUGACACAUUCUUCUUUAGAGAAUUAGUCUCAAGGUGAUCUGGAAAUAGCAAAUCAAUGCAUAUUUAAUCUCAGAUGCUUUCUGUUGCAAUCAGUACUUUUACAUGUAAGUCAACAACUAUUUUGUAGAAUAUAAAUCAUGACAAACCUUGAAUAGAGCAGCAUAUCUCGGUUAAGCUUAGAUCCUGUAUGAUUCAAAUUACAAAGCUCUUCCCGUUGCCUUUUCUGAAUGUUUCAUUAAGAUUGUGUUGCUAGCAUAAACAUUUUUAGAGAAAGAAUCCCUUGUACAUGAACUAGAUGAAAAUGGUGAGCAUGAUGCCGGGUGUAGUUAAUUUAACUUGAGAUAAGUAUCUGCUUAGUGGAACACUGAUGUGCAUUAAGGAGAAGAAAAGUAGGGGGACAGCAGUCUUCCUAGAAGUUAACCACAUCCACGCACAAUGACACCAACCUGCAUUAUUUUAUUGUUGAAAUGGGCAUUAAGAUUGCCAUGAUGCGGUGGACUUUCCUUAAUGAGUUUAUUAGAAAUGACCAUUAGUAGUGAGGAAAUGAGGACCCCUUCUACUCAUAUUGGAUCGUAUCUAUUGUGAAUCUCUUUGUUGUAGUCCCUUUCUUGUAACUAUCUUUUGCUGAGCUUCUAUUUGCUAAGUUUUAAAGUUUUUAUUCAUGAAAAUAGCAAGUAUUAAUGAAAAUGGGCUUUUAAAGUUAUUGGCUUUAGCAACAGGGUAGAAAGGUGCUUUUAUUUUUAUAUAUUUAGGAUGAAGAAAGUCAUACAAAAUAUCUGUUUCAUAUAUUCAUUUGUCGUGCGAAUGUUAAUACUGAGAGGGAGGGGAAUUGCAGCAGAGGGUAAAAGAAAAGAAAAAGCACAGAAAGGAAGGGUUUGUUAAUCAUUAGGAUUGGAAGGGAAGCCAAGGGAAGGAAAGAGGGCAAAAGUAAGGUUUACUGAGAUGACACAUGCAAGUGCCGUUGAGAGAGGAAAGGGGAAAGAGGAAAGAAGUGGGAAUAGAAGAGAAGCUUUUGGUUUUGCGCAGAAGGGAGAUAAUAAUAAUAAUAAAAAAGAACAAAAAAAAAGGGCAGUCUUUUUUAGUGGGCAAAUGGCAUGUAUAUUGUAUCUUAACCCUGCAACUAUCACAUACUUCCCAAAAGCUUGGAUAUACCCAUGAGCACUGAACUUCUACUUUCACUAAUCCCAAGGCUCUCCUCUCUCUCAAUGUCUGGUUGUAUAUACUAACAAGGAUUUGCUAUAAUCUUUUUUAUUUUUUUAGGAGGUUAAAGUUGUUAAUGAAUUGGAUUGAUCUCCUAACAAUUGACAGACAACCCAUUUGUUACUAAGCAAAGUUGAACUGCUCUCUUUAACCUGAAUUGAUGCUUUUAACUAUUUGUUAUUAGGCAAAGUUGAGCUACUAUCUCUAACUUGGGUUGGUGCAUUUUACUAAUUACAGCUCUGGUCAGUAGCCCAAAAUCAAUUUCAUGCUUACCCUUCAAUCUCAUAAUAAAUAAUUUUGUGUAGACGUGUAAGACCUCGAAACAUUCAGAUGCCAGAUGCAGAUGGGAUGGAUCGGGUGGGUCACGCAAUCAAAGCAGGGAAGCAGAUGCCUAAUUUUAUUUGGAUUUUGGACUUCAUAUCAUGUAAGUUCAGCUGCCAGCCGAAGGCUUGUGAUAUGGGGACAGGCACAGAAACUGAUAAAGGUGCAACAGGGAAAAAAAGACUGAAUUAUUGAUUCAAACGUUCAAAGUUCCAUCGAGCAUCUUUUUCAUAACCGUUGACAUUUUUUCAUCUCUCAUUCAUUCCUCUUCUGUGUCCUUCUUUUUAUUUAUUUUUUUCUCUUUUGUUUCCUUCUGGUUUAGUACCACUACGUCCUGGACCACCAAAACGUAAACGCAAUUUCACAUAACCUUUUCACUCACGCUUACAAACAAGUUUUACAGCCCCUACCCAACCCUCCCUCUUUAGAAAAGGCUUCAUACUUCUUUAGUAUAUAGUAUUUUCCAAUUUCUUUCUUACUAUCCCAAAAGAAAGUGAUUGGGGAAAAUUUUUUUCUUGGAAAUUGAUUACCAACCAGUCCUUACGUGGAAUUCGAAUUGUGAGGAGGAAAGGAAAAAAAAGAUGUGAUUGAAUUUGCAAAGAAAUGGUCACAUAUCAUAUGGUUUGGUAACUCUGGUUCUGGCAGUCAAUUACGUUCACUUGCAUUAGUCAAUAGAUUCGAUAUUAAUGAUCUAUUAUAUUGCGAUUAGUUAUUUUAUUUUAAUUCCAUCUUUUAAAUGUUCUCUUUUUCUCAAGAGGUUUUUGUAACUCUUUGG